UCACCGUGUUCAUUGGACGCCAUGUCGCCAUUCUCUGAACCGACGCCAUGGAAUUGCGAGACUCGUUCGGCAUCUCUGAACCAACGCCAUGGGAUACUUGUUCGGAAAUAUUGCUUACCAUCACGCCAAUUACCUUCCCGCGAGAUUCUACAGUCCUCCAUACAAAAUAAAUGUUAUCAUUGAAGACGGUUCAUCGUUACCGAUUUCACAGGGGGAAAAUAUUUAUGAGAUGUUUGUCCACUGAAUUAUGAAGCUCGACUUGAGAAAAAGGAAAGGAUGCAUCGGUGGCAAGUAAUUAAGGUGUUUGUUAAAAUGCCCCAACCACAACUAAAUUGAAUAAUUGACUUCUCAUAUCUGUUUUAUGGUAUAUAAGAGACAAAUGAUAUUUUAUUGAUAGAUGGUGCUAUUAUUUUUCAUAAAUUAACAUGAAAUUGACUUUUUAGUCUAACCCUGGUUACAAACUUAUGUGCCAUGUUGCUCUUGCCCACGAAGGACAUUGCAUACCUGGAGAGGUAAUCAUCCACCCAAAAAAAUUAGCAUAUCUUAUUGAUACCUAAGAGAUGAUUAAAUUUCAUUCCCCAAUACCUAUAAUUCUAAUAGUUUUCAGUUUCGAUUUAGAAUCACUUUAGUUUUAUGUGUGAAGCCUUCCUUUUAUCAAUUGCUGUAGUAUUGGUUGAAUAGGAAUGAAGGAAUUUGCAUUUGCUUUAGUUGAAUAUAGGAAGCCUUCUUUUGGAGUGGAAGCCUUUUCAAUUUCUAAAAUAUAAUAUUGAAUCUGCUUUAAGUUCUAGGACAUAGGUAUGCCAUGGCUUUUGACAUCAAGAAAGGGGACAAAACUGUAAGUGAAAAAUAAUCAUGGUUUGGGUUUGAAUUGUGUUAUUUUAUUUUUCAUUAUAAAUGUUUUUAUAACAAUUUAGGAAUCCAUUUUAGAGAUUGGUGUGAAACUUGAUCAGUUGUAAAAUGUGACUCCAUUGUUCCAUAUUUUAAUAUAAAUAAAUGACUAUGUAUGUACUUACUAGCAUUAUUUUGCAGGUGUUGACUUUUAAUCCAUUGACUUAUGGAAUAUAGGAGAGAAUGCGAUACAUCUUUACACAUAAGUGAUUACGUAUGAAACACUUCUUUCAAAUAUAAAUGACUAUCUAUGUACUUAGCUUUCCUUACAGUUUUCUAGAACAAGCCACAUCCACACUUACAUGGAAUCCAUCAAACUAUAAUCUCGUUACCUUUUCAAAUGGAAGAAGUGCCUAUUUAUCAAAUGCAAAACAAGACCAAGGUUUAUUAUGAUAGAAAUUGGGUUAAGCUUAAUAUAGUUCCCCUUCAAAGAAGUAAUACUUAUCUACCUAAUUAUUUUUUUAAUUUUUAAUUUUUAAUUUUUAUAAUUUUGGGAGGCUAUUGAUUUCCAUUUAAAAUAUUGAAGCCUAUAAUAUCAUGUCAUAAGCUUAGAAGAAUGAAGAUUACCUUGAAAUUUUUCUUAGAUGCACCACAUUUGAUAGGAUCCGCAUAUAUUUUUUCCAGUUUUCAUGUUAAUCAUUGAGUUUUUUGAAUUUAUUCACUAUUUUGGUGUUAAUAUUUUCUUAUUAUUGCAAGAAGAAUGGAAUCAAACUUCAAGGAUUAUUGUUCUUUCAGGUUGAACUAUGGCAACAUGACUUGAGUGGAAGGUGGAGAGAGGAGCAGUAGUUAUAUAUUGGAUGGGGUAGGUUUAAAAAUUGGAAAAUUGUAGUAAAUAGCAUGCAACGUAUCUAACUCUCAGUAUCAUCAUGUGCAAUAUACUUGACAUUUUGACCAGUAAUAGCAUUGUACAUGUACUUUUCACCCAUACACAACCACAAAACUACAUUUUCAUUGAUAAUAGCUUUAUACAUUAGAUUUAUACCGAUAAAAACAACAUACAUAUAUAAUACAUACGACGCCAAUAUCAACAAUGUUCUUUAUUUGUUUUCACAUUCUUUGAGUUUAUAAUUAUAAGUAGGUUUAUAUUAUUGGAAAAAUUUGUAAGUACAAUGUUAUCAUGUAAAGAAAAUGCAUGCUGCUAUUAUGGGUAAGAAAUUUUAAUUACAUUGUUAUUCUGGUUUUCAAAAAUUGUAAGUACAAUGUUAUCAUGUAAAGAAAAUG